rnacentral:rRNA from 1 species
AGCAGCCGCGGUAAUUCCAGCUCCAAUAGCGUAUAUUAAAGUUGUUGCAGUUAAAAAGCUCGUAGUUGAAUUUCGGGGUUAGUAGGUUGGUCAUGCCUCUGGUAUGUAUUGGUCUCACUGAUUCCUCCUUCUUGUAGAACCGUAAUGCCAUUAAGUUGGUGUUGCGGGGAAACAGGACUGUUACUUUGAAAAAAUUAGAGUGUUUAAAGCAAGCUAACGCUUGAAUACAUUAGCAUGGAAUAAUGAAAUAGGACGAACGAUCCUAUUUUGUUGGUUUCUAGGAUUGACGUGAUGAUUAAUAGGGAUAGUUGGGGGCAUUAGUAUUCAAUUGUCAGAGGUGAAAUUCUUGGAUUUAUUGAAGACUAACUACUGCGAAAGCAUUUUGCCAAGGAUGUUUUCAUUAAUCGAGAACGAAAGUUAGGGGAUCGAAGACGAUCAGAUACCGUCGUAGUCUUAACCAUAAACUAUGCCGACUAGGGAUCGGAUGAUGUUAAUUUUAUAAUGACUCAUUCGGCGCCUU